GAUGAACGCUGGCGGCGUGCCUAAUACAUGCAAGUCGAGCGAACGGACGAGAAGCUUGCUUCUCUGAUGUUAGCGGCGGACGGGUGAGUAACACGUGGAUAACCUACCUAUAAGACUGGGAUAACUUCGGGAAACCGUAGCUAAUACCGGAUAAUAUUUUGAACCGCAUGGUUCAAAAGUGAAAGACGGUCUUGCUGUCACUUAUAGAUGGAUCCGCGCUGCAUUAGCUAGUUGGUAAGGUAACGGCUUACCAAGGCAACGAUGCAUAGCCGACCUGAGAGGGUGAUCGGCCACACUGGAACUGAGACACGGUCCAGACUCCUACGGGAGGCAGCAGUAGGGAAUCUUCCGCAAUGGGCGAAAGCCUGACGGAGCAACGCCGCGUGAGUGAUGAAGGUCUUCGGAUCGUAAAACUCUGUUAUUAGGGAAGAACAUAUGUGUAAGUAACUGUGCGCAUCUUGACGGUACCUAAUCAGAAAGCCACGGCUAACUACGUG
rnacentral:rRNA from 1 species